rnacentral:lncRNA from 1 species
AGAGCUAAGCCUGAGGACUUCGGUCUGAGGUGGAAGGGAGUGAGGGUAAAGGCUUGUAGGACUUGCCUCACACACCUCCUCCUCAUGGGGAAGACAGUGGCCUCCCUGGAAGCUCUGGGCAGAGGGUGGGGCUUUUGUCAGGGGCGGAGGGGCUGGGUCCCUGAGGCUGCUUCCUCCCUUCCCUGCCCUCACAGGCUCCUUACCCAAGUGGGUGGUGAAUAAAUCUUCUCAGUUCCUGGCUCCCAAGGCCAUGAAGAAGAUGUACAAGGCGUGCCUCAAGUACCCCGAGUGGAAACAGAAGCACCUGCCUCACUUCAAGCCGUGGCUGCACCCGGAGCAGAGCCCGUUGCCGAGCCUGGCGCUGUCGGAGCUGUCGGUGCAGCAUGCGGACUCACUGGAGAACAUCGACGAGAGCGCGGUGGCCGAGAGCAGAGAGGAGCGGAUGGGCGGCGCGGGCGGCGAGGGCAGCGACGACGACACCUCGCUCACCUGAGCGCCGCACCGCUUCAGGGACGGAGACAGGACC